rnacentral:misc_RNA from 1 species
GAUGAAGAACGUAGCGAAAUGCGAUAAGUAAUGCGAAUUGCAGAAUUUCCGUGAGUCAUCGAAUCUUUGAACGCACAUUGCGCCCACUGGUAUUCCGGUGGGCAUGCCUGUUCGAGCGCCAUUAUCCUCCCUCAAACCCCGGGUUUGGUGUUGGACCCAAGUUGUGUGAACAACUGGUCUCAAAGACAAUGACGGCGUCCGUGGGACCCUCGGUGCAACGAGCUUUUAGGAGCACGCAUCGAGUUGCAAGGACCUUCCGGGCCGGUCUCCUUUACCAUUUUACAAGGUUGACCUCGGAUCAGGUAGGAAUACCCGCUGAACUUAAGCAUAUCAAUAAGCGGAGGA